AGAUAGAUCUUGGUGGUGGAAAUUUAUAUACUAAUAGUCGGGACUGGAUUCAUUAUCGGAUCUUUGCUGUUUUGCUACAUCCAAACUAGCUUUGGUGUUGUUAUUUGCUGGAGCUAUGGCGUCUUUGUUGCAUUAUGACUCGAGGCGUUUAUAGCCUGAAGAAUUCAAAAUGGCUUCAGGAAAAUAUUACGGAUACGCAUAUGGUGAGUGACUGUUGAGAUGAAUUUAUGUGUUUUCGUCUCCGAUUAUAUGCAAUGACCUUACUGUGGUACUUGGACAACUAAUACACAAUAUUUUUGAUUGCAUUGGUGAGCUAGAGAUGAUUUUCAGAAUUAGCACUUAUAAGUGGCUGCCCAUAUCUUCAAUUGAUCUGGCUGCCCAUAUCUAUUUCAUUUGUUGCUCAUAUGA